rnacentral:lncRNA from 1 species
GUCAUUUUCAAUAUAUAUGCAUAUAUAUCAUCAAAAUAUAUUAACAAGAUAUCUUGUCCAAUAAUCAACAAAUGAAUGUAAUUAAACAUUUCAAUCAAAGUUUUAAUCAACUUGUGAAAUUUUAACAGUAGAAACAUAAUGAUAAAAAGACAUGUACAAUGUAUGAAAAAUCUCUCCAAAAUUUGGAGUCUUAAAAUGUUUCUUAUAAAGUAACGUCUGCUUCGUAAUUGAAUGUUUGUGAUGGGUAGGGGGAUACAGAGUACAGAUGGGUUCUGACACAACCAUUGAGUUCUGGAACUGCCCUUUAUACACAAUUCAAACUCAAAUUUUUACAAUAUUUCAAAAACUUUUUCCAAUCAAAUUGUCCUAAAUUGCUGAAAGAUGUAAAUUUUGAAAAAGAUUUACAAAAUUGUACGGCAACAAUACCAAAUAAUUUUUACAUUAAAUUUCUAUCAUCAGUAGGUUUGUGGAGAAAGGGGAGAGGGGGUGGAAUUUGGGGUUUAGGAUUUAUCUUUAGGUCAUUUUUUGAAACAGACUUCCUCUAGUAUCUUAAGCUUUCCAAUCAGGAAAUAUAAAUAAUAUCAUUGACAAUUGUCUAAAUUUUCCCUCUGGGAAACAUAUAAAACAAAUCAGGCAUUAAUUUAAAUUGAAAACAUGAGACAAUACACGUAACUAAUAUCACCUAUGUAGAAAAACAAAACUACCAUGUAACAAUGUAAAAACUAAUAAAUAACUUAAACAAACGACUAGAUGUACAAAAAAAAAUAGGCAAUUGUGAGUUCAUCGUAAAAUGUUGUAUAUCAAUUUUCUCUGAUUUACUGGUAAAAAUACAGUUUUGAAAAGACAAAUAGGCAAUUACAAAAUAUUCUUAAAAAAACAUGUCUAAAAUAAGAUAAAUAAUUAUACAAAUGUAUGUACAUGUACAUAAUUUGUAUCAAGUUUAAUGUAAAUGUGCAGAGGUUUUUUUUCUGCCAUAAUUUUCCAAUGUGUUUAGCAGAAUGGCUUUUCCUGUCAUUUGGCAAAAGAUUUAUGGAAUCAAGUCAUAUAA